AGCUUGGUGGGAAGAGGACGAAGAGAGAAGACAGCAGU
rnacentral:sRNA from 1 species